AACAGAAGAAAUAUUUAAAAAAAUAAAAAAUCAGAGUACUCUUAUAUUCAUAAGUAACAUAAGUAGUAAUAAUACAUUACCUUACUUAACUGGUUUUAUCUCUUUUUUUAUCACGAAUACUGCAAGAAAUAAGUAAAAAUAAUUUGUUCAUCGAACAGCUCCAACAAAUUGUGAAUCGAAGCAGAAAGCACACCUUACUGUUUACGUUCAGAGAUCUGCUAGUCUGUUCGUUUCUCUCCCAUCGACCCUCACCAUUUACUCACACUUGUAACGUCUAACCUUUAAUCCGUAUGUAACAUAUUGUCGAAGGGCAGGGACACAUACCUAGCUAAGGUUUGUAAUAUGGAUCUUAUCACAGAGCAUCUUAUAAACGCAUUACGCAGUGAAGGUUAGAGUUACAGGUUGUGUGUGAUUAAAAGAAAAAGUAAAAAAGACUUAAAAAAAAUUAGAUCAAGCUAAUGCACGUAUUAUAGAAUUGGAGAGAGAAAAGUCUAGGCUUCUAUUGCGUUACCCAGACCCAGCUUAUCAAAAUGGAGCUCAAUCUUAUCACAGUGAACCUGCAGCAUAUCAACGUCAAUUAUAUUAAAAAUCUGUAGCAUCUAUCCAAUUAAAUAAAGUUAUU